rnacentral:rRNA from 1 species
AUGGGAACGCGAAGAACCUUACCUAGACUUGACAUCUUCUGCAUUAAUCGUAAUGGAUGAAAUCCCUUCGGGGACAGAAUGACAGGUGGUGCAUGGUUGUCGUCAGCUCGUGUCGUGAGAUGUUGGGUUAAGUCCCGCAACGAGCGCAACCCCUAUUAUUAGUUGCUAACAUUAAGUUGAGCACUCUAGUGAGACUGCCCGGGUUAACCGGGAGGAAGGUGGGGAUGACGUCAAAUCAUCAUGCCCCUUAUGUCUAGGGCUACACACGUGCUACAAUGGUGGGAACAAAGAGAUGCAAUACCGCGAGGUGGAGCUAAACUCAAAACCCCAUCCCAGUUCGGAUUGUAGGCUGAAACUCGCCUACAUGAAGCUGGAGUUGCUAGUAAUCGCGAAUCAGAAUGUCGCGGUGAAUACGUUCCCGGGUCUUGUACACACCG